rnacentral:rRNA from 1 species
UACGUAGGGUGCAAGCGUUGUCCGGAAUUAUUGGGCGUAAAGAGCUCGUAGGCGGUCUGUCGCGUCUGCUGUGAAAACUCAGGGCUUAACCCUGAGCUUGCAGUGGGUACGGGCAGACUAGAGUGCGGUAGGGGAGACUGGAACUCCUGGUGUAGCGGUGAAAUGCGUAGAUAUCAGGAGGAACACCGGUGGCGAAGGCGGGUCUCUGGGCCGAUACUGACGCUGAGGAGCGAAAGCGUGGGGAGCGAACAGG